AACCAGGACUAUAAACAUAAACAUGUGUCACUGUAACUGGGCAGACGUUCCCAUCAGCCUGAAAAUACACAAUCCACCUUGAAAUAGCUGUAGCAGUGGAAGACAGUGAUUGGCUCCAGUGCUCCUAGAAGAAUCUGGGCUGAAGCCAGGGGAACAGAACCAGAGGAUUCCCUUUCCAGAGACCAUCAGGCUUCACAUGCGGAUCUUUCCCUUCUCCCCUCUAGGGUGCUCAGAAUUUCAGUGUGGCUUAAGCAGCCCAUAGAGGCGGCUGACAUGGUCAACAUAUUUAUCAAAGAAACCCCCUGGCUUUUGAAGAAUAGUACUUUAUACAUCUGGAUCUGCACAUCCAGGCAAAGCUUAGAAAUAUCCGUUUAUUCUUUUAACCACACGGAUGUGUCUAUUUUUGGAAGAACAAGGAAACAUAUAAAUGCCUGGGCCGCAUUCAUGCUGUAGUUCCAAACACCGAACUGUUAAGAAGAUUUUGCCGAAUUUUGCAAAGCAGCCAACAAACUGCCUUGGGAUCGUGGUGAUGCGACUGGGAAGACCUUUGCUCUCAUUUGGCAAUAUUUUGGAUAUCCUUGAAAAUGACACCAAAAUAUGCUUUGACUAAGAAGAGGUUAAACAAUAUUGAUAUUCAUCCAAAGUGAUUAAAAAAAAAAAAAAAGCAGAUGCUUGGCUUUCACGGAAAAAAAUGGGAGUUGUGGAAGAUUCAUUUAAACUACCAACCAAAAGCAUCACAGACCACUGAAAUAGUCUGCAUCAUACAUCAGCACUUUCUUUUCAUCGUUAUUACGUAAAACCUCUGGAAGCACCUUGGGCGGUUUACCUUUUCUUUCCCUUGCUACAGAAGCAAUCCGCUCCAUGGAAUUCUGACCUGUUGUGAACAGGACCCCGGCUAAGGCUGUGCUGGGGACUCUAGGACCAUCCUGCCUCCAAUCCAGCCAGCUUAAUUGUGAAAAGUGUACACAUUUCUGGCUUAUCUAUGCUUUGUUAUGGGUCUGACGUGAAACUACCUCCUCCCCACUCCACCCCCCCAGCAGAGAAUCAAAAUUCAGUUGAAUUGUUACAGUGUUUCGGAGCUGGAGCCUUGAACUGCCUCAUUGGUCAAAUAACUUUGUUUCUGGUUGUAAAAAGGCAUUUUGGGGGGUGGGGGAAACAAGGAAAAUCGAGAGAAAUUCAAAACGUAAGUCUGUACUGGGAUGGUUCACCGCGCGGAUUUAACUUUGGAGCUCCCAGCCGGGCUCCUUCCCCACUCCCAUAAGGGAAAUACCAGGCUGUUCUGCACGUUUCGCUUAAGCUCCAUUUUCCAAAGGAAAAGGGGGGUGGGAUAUAUCUAUUUAGGCUUGAUAAUGUUUUAAAAAUGCUUUUCUUUGAAAU
ensembl:lncRNA